rnacentral:rRNA from 1 species
GACGAACGCUGGCGGCGUGCUUAACACAUGCAAGUCGAGCGAUGAAGUUCCUUCGGGAAUGGAUUAGCGGCGGACGGGUGAGUAACACGUGGGUAACUUGCCUCAUAGAGGGGAAUAGCCUUUCGAAAGGAAGAUUAAUACCGCAUAAGAUUGUAGUAUCGCAUGAUACAGCAAUUAAAGGAGUAAUCCGCUAUGAGAUGGACACUCAUCGCAUUAGCUAGUGGGUGAGGUAACGGCUCACCAAGGCGACGAUGCGUAGCCGACGUGAGAGGGUGAUCGGCCACAUUGGGACUGAGACACGGCCCAGACUCCUACGGGAGGCAGCAGUGGGGAAUAUUGCACAAUGGGGUAAACCCUGAUGCAGCAACGCCGCGUGAGUGAUGACGGUCUUCGGAUUGUAAAACUCUGUCUUCAGGGACGAUAAUGACGGUACCUGAGGAGGAAGCCACGGCUAACUACGUGCCAGCCGCCGCAGUAA